AUCCCAUGUUGCUGUUAUUCGACAUGCUACUGAAAUAUUUCCAAAGAUAAACAAGCGGACGAUAAUUUUUCGCACUCUGAUUUAGAUUCUAAAGAAUUUAAGAGAAAGAAUUUACUAGAAUUUUAUCAAGUAUAUGUAUCAACUGCUUUAUUAUUUUCAAUAUAUUAGAUAUUACGACUCGGAGUAGUCGGAGUGUUAUAGUAUAGGUUAAGAUAAACAUCUUUAGAAAUUUGAAAUAGUAGCUGAAACGCGAGUGUGUUCAAAAUAAUUGAAUUUUCUUGAGCGAAUAAUUUAUCCUUUUCAUGUAUUUAAUAAUUGAUGUAUAAUAAAUAUCUGUAGUAUAAUAAAUAUCUGUAGGACUUUACGAGAUCUUUUCAGUCAUGGGAUCCAAUCACGAUCAAACGUUUUUGCACAUACUUCGUGAAGAAAAAAACAUCAAUAAUUUUUUGGACUCCUUUUUUGGAUUUUUAAAUAGGUGCACAGACUUUUAUGUCGAAUCGAAUUCGGAGCAAAAAUUAGGCUUCCCACCAGGAAUAGCAGAGAAACUUGUAUUAAAUACCAUGUACAAGUGGAGAAACGCUACAUCUUUACGAAAAACAGAAUUGCCUUUAAUUGAUAAUGCAAACAGCAGCAAUAGUAUGUCAAAUCAAUUAGUUUUGACACAAAGAGAAAAUUACAGACUUACACCACCAGUGGCGCAGGAAAUUGAAAUUGAUUCAUGUAAUGAAGCCAAUAAUAUUAAACCAUUCUUCGUACAAUCUAAUACAGACCAUAUAUCAGACAGUUACAACGGAGCUGUAAGGGAAAAUUAUACUUGGACUCAGACUCUCAAUGAUUUGGAUGUGAUUAUAAAAAUACCAAAACAUAUAAAAGCAUCCAAAGAUACAAUCAAAGUUGACAUAAGCUCAAAUGAAAUCAAGAUUGAUGGAAAGCCUUCUGUUUCAUCAGCAAAUUCUGAAUGGGAGAACAUUUUCAAUGGCAAGUUUAGUUUUAAAAUUCGAAGAGAUGAAUCUAUAUGGAGCAUUGAAGCUGGGAAACAAAUUAGUAUUCAUCUUGAAAAAGCUAUGGAAAGGUGGUGGGAAGCCUUAAUUGUUGAUGAACCGAAAAUUGACUUGAACAAGAUUGACUGUUCAAAACAUUUUAACGAUAUGGCGCCAGAAGAACAAAUGAAAGUGCAAGAAUUAAUGUGGAAUCAGCAACAGAAAAUCUUAGGCAAACCGACAUCUGAACAAAUUAAGAUGGAGGCUACCUUGAAGCAGGCAUGGAAUGCGAAGGGAUCACCUUUUCUGGAAAUAAAUGCAGGUGUCUACGAAAGCAAAGAGCUGACGAUCUGGAUCUCGGCGAUACCCUGUGAAUCAUGAACGAUCUAAGAGUUCACAGAAUGCGCGGAAUCCUACGCUUUUCCCUGGUGUUUAUGCUGACUUUAUAUCACAAUAGUGGUGGGAUCGUUCGCCACAGAGACGAGGCAGGAGCGGUUCACACAGAAAUCUACCUCGUAUCGCGAUUCGCAAAAAGAAAGGUGUCACAAUAUCAUCGAGAUUGAAACACGUUCCAAUUCAAACGUGUUCGUUUCAAACGCGCUAAAUGUACCGCCGUGGCAAUGUUGAGUGAUAUACAUCGUCGCGAUAAUAUCUUCAGGAAUUCCUGCGAUAAGACUCGACAAUUCUUCCCUCCCGCGUCAUCAGCAGCGCCAGAUGCCAGGUGCAACAGCAACAGGUCGUGCGCGUUGAGCACCGCUGCAGGUAAAACACAGGUAAUAUACCUGCCCGAGGCUACGAGUCCAUCCCCACCUGAGGUCCGGUUCUCUCUCCUUGCUCUCUCGGCCGGCUCUCCGGCUGGCUUUCCUUCGAGGUGAGUCGGGAAUCAAGCCGUUAGUAUCGUUGCCGUUGUGACUGGAAUGGUGGUGUGAUGUGCAUCGCGACGAAGUGCGCAUCCUGAAGGACAGCGAAGUACGUGGAUAUUACGCACAAAGGCAAAGUUGAACCCCUUCCUCCCCCUGACUCCCCGCUAUCGAAUAUAGCCUUUUCAUCCCCCGGUGCUCGCGUGAGAUCGAGCAAGAUCCGAGAGAGCCGCGUGCCCGCGUUCUCCAAAAAUCCCCCAAUCCCAUGGUCCAGCUCUCCUCCUUCGCAGUUCGUGGUUCGUGCGCUUCGUAGCAGCUUCUUCUUCGCGCUGAUGCCCAUGUACAGUCGGUAGCAAUAAUCACCACGUAAUCGCGGUGAAUGCGAGGUGAAGCUAACGGAAGAGACGGGAGUAAAAGAGAGACCGAGGAUAUAUUCGACGAAGAAGAGAGAAA